rnacentral:rRNA from 1 species
CGAACGCGUCUUGGUUAUUGAUGUUAAGUGCUUGCAUUGAACUGCCCUUUUCAUUGAGACGAGUGGCGAACUGGUGAGUAACACGUGGGUAACCUGCCCUUGAAGUAGGGGAUAACACUUGGAAACAGGUGCUAAUACCGUAUAACAACCAAAACCACCUGGUUUUGGUUUAAAAGAUGGCUUCGGCUAUCACUUUAGGAUGGACCCGCGGCGUAUUAGCUUGUUGGUAAGGUAACGGCCUACCAAGGCAAUGAUACGUAGCCGACCUGAGAGGGUAAUCGGCCACAUUGGGACUGAGACACGGCCCAAACUCCUACGGGAGGCAGCAGUAGGGAAUCUUCCACAAUGGACGAAAGUCUGAUGGAGCAACGCCGCGUGAGUGAUGAAGGGUUUCGGCUCGUAAAACUCUGUCGUUGGAGAAGAACAGGUGUGAGAGUAACUGUUCACAUCUUGACGGUAUCCAACCAGAAAGCCACGGCUAACUACGUGCCAGCAGCCGCGGUAAUACGUAGGUGGCAAGCGUUGUCCGGAUUUAUUGGGCGUAAAGCGAGCGCAGGCGGUUUCUUAGGUCUGAUGUGAAAGCCUUCGGCUUAACCGGAGAAGUGCAUCGGAAACCAGGAGACUUGAGUGCAGAAGAGGACAGUGGAACUCCUUGUGUAGCGGUGAAAUGCGUAGAUAUAUGGAAGAACACCAGUGGCGAAGGCGGCUGUCUGGUCUGUAACUGACGCUGAGGCUCGAAAGCAUGGGUAGCGAACAGGAUUAGAUACCCUGGUAGUCCAUGCCGUAAACGAUGAGUGCUAAGUGUUGGAGGGUUUCCG